rnacentral:rRNA from 1 species
AGAGUUUGAUCCUGGCUCAGAACGAACGCUGGCGGCGUGGAUAAGACAUGCAAGUCGAACGGAAUGCCAUGAGUAGCAAUACAAGUGGUGUUUAGUGGCGAACGGGUGCGUAACACGUGGAUACAUUCCGGGAAGCGGGGGAUAGCCCAGGGAAACUUGGAUUAAUACCGCAUGUGAUCGAAAGAUCAAAGACGGGGACCGCAAGGCCUGUCACUUCCCGAUUGGUCCGCGGCCUAUCAGCUAGUUGGCGGGGUAAAAGCCCACCAAGGCGACGACGGGUAGCUGGUCUGAGAGGACGACCAGCCACACUGGAACUGAGACACGGUCCAGACACCUACGGGUGGCAGCAGUCGAGAAUCUUUCACAAUGGGGGCAACCCUGAUGGAGCGACGCCGCGUGGAGGAUAAGGUCUUCGGAUUGUAAACUCCUGUCAUGCGUGAACAAGAUUGCCGGGUUAAUAACCUGAGCAAGUUGAUGGUAACGCAAGAGGAAGAGACGGCUAACUCUGUGCCAGCAGCCGCGGUAAUACAGAGGUCUCAAGCGUUGUUCGGAAUCACUGGGCGUAAAGGGUGCGUAGGUGGCGAGGUAAGUCAGAUGUGAAAGCCCGGGGCUCAACCUCGGAAUUGCAUCCGAUACUGCCCUGCUUGAGUACUGAAGGGGUGACUAGAAUUCUCGGUGUAGCAGUGAAAUGCGUAGAUAUCGAGAGGAAUACCAAAGGCGUAGGCAGGUCACUGGGCAGUUACUGACACUGAGGCACGAAGGCCAGGGGAGCGAACGGGAUUAGAUACCCUGGUAGUCC